rnacentral:SRP_RNA from 1 species
CCUUGUGAUGGCGCAUGCACGUAAUCCCAGCUACUUAGAAGGCUGAGGUAAGAAGAUCACUUCAGCCCAGGAGUUCCAGGAUGUAGUGUGCUGUGCCGAUCAGAUGUUGACACUAAGUUCAGCAUCAAUAUGGUGACCUUCCAAAAGUAGGGGACCACUAAGUUACCUAAAUAAGGGUGAAUUGGCUCAGGUCAGAAACAGAGCAGGUCACUGACCAGCAGUAGGCUCAUACCUGUGAAUAGCUACUGCACUCCAGCCUGGGCAACAUAGCAAGAUGGAGGUCUCACU